UGACAAAUGUGCUUUGGGAAUGUGAAAGGAAACUAAAUCUUGGGACCUCAAAGUCACUAAGCUAAAGGGACAAGUCAAGCUUGGAACUGCUUAGGGCAAACCUACUUCCCAUUCUGUUCAAAGUCAUCUCUCUGAGGCUCACCUGAGACAAAUGCAUAUCUAAUUGCUUCCUCUGCCCUAUUGUUGAUGUAAAAAUGCAGAUUCACUGAGCCAGACUAAAUUGGGUAUUCAGUGGAAGGUUGAUCGAGUGCGCAAAAUAAUGAAACCUUUUGUCUCUUAUCUACUUCUGACCUGGAAGCCCCAACUUUGAGUUGUCCCACCCUACCAGACCAAACCAGUGUACAUGUGACACAUAUUGAUUGAUGGCUCGUGUCUCCCUAAAAUGUGUAGAAGCAAGCUGUACCCUGACCACCUUGGGUGCAUGUCGUCAGGACCUCCUGAGGCUGUGUCACAGGAGCAUCCUUAACUUUGGCAAAGUAAACUUCCUAAACUGACUGAGCCCUGUCUCAGGUAUUUAGAGUUCACAGGAAUGAUUUCAGACACCCCAGGGAGAGGUGCCUCUACUGCGCGGCUCCUGGCCUGGUCUCAGACUAAACCGUAAGCUCCCUCAUUUUUGUAUCCCCAGUGCCCGAAACUGUGCGUGGCACUUGAGAGUCCAUGAUAUGUAUUUUUGGCUUUGUUGAAUAGUUUAAUUAACUCAUUAGUGAUGCAAAGUUCUAACUGCAUAUUUACAGAUAUUUAUGUGUGCACCACAUUAUGGGUGGUGAGAAGUAGGAAUUCAAAGAGACAAAAUCAUACUUUCUCUCCUCGAAAUUCUUAUAAAGCUACCAAGAAGACAAGACAUAGACACAUUAAAUAUAAAUAAAAUACAAAAGGAUGUACCCUGACAUGCAAAUAUGUGUUCACAGAAACAAAGUUCUUCUUACCAAAUUCCUGUUGUCUAAAGCAGUUUUUCCUAAAACACGUUCUUCAGAAUACCAGUUUCUCAGGGUGCCAAUGUGAGGAAAAGCUUUGGUGGUCAGAUGAGUUCAGGGCUGGGUUAGGCUGAUUUCUUUACCAGAAGGCUUCUUGAAGACUUAAAGAAAUCUGUAUUGAGAUAUAAUUUGUAUGGCAUAAAGUUCACCCACUUUAAGUAAACAACUCGUUGGCUUUUAGUAUAGAGUUGUGUAGCCAUCACCACAAUGUCACUGCAGAAUGUUUCCAUCACCACCCAAAACACCUCAUGCUGUUUGCAGCCAUUUCCCAUCCCCUUCCUUCCUAGCCCCUGAAAACCACUAAUUUACCUUCUGCCUCUAUAGAUUUGCCUAUUCUGGGCAUUUCACAGAGAUGGAAUAAUUUACUGUGGGACCUUUUGUGACUGGCGUCUUUCAUUUAACUUAAUGUUUUCAAGGUUCAUCCACAUUGUUGCAUGUAUGAACUGAUGGACAUUUGGGUUGUUUCCACUUUUUGGCUAUCAUAAAUUACAUUGUUAUAAGAAUUCACGUGCAAGUUUUAUUUGACUAUAUGUUUUCAGUUCUCUUGGGUCUAUAGAGAAGAGUGGAAUUCCUGGGUCAUACUGUGAAUCUAUUCAAACUCUUUUCUUUAUAAAUUACUCUGUGUCAGGUAUUUCUUCAUAGCAGCGUGGAAAUGAACUAAUACAGUAAAUUGGUAUCAAGGUAGUGGGGGAUUGCUAUAAGAUACCUGAGAAUGUGGAAGCGACUUUUGAACUGGGUAAUGGGCAGAGGUUGGAACAGUUUGGAGGACUCAGAAGACAGAAAGAUGUGGCAAAGUUCCGAACUUCCCAGAGACUUGUUGAGGGGCUCUGAUCAAAAUGCUGAUAGUGAUAUGGACCAUGAAGUCCGGGAUGAGGUGGUCUUAGAUGGAGAUGAGAAACUUAUUGGGAACUUGAAUAAACAUGAUUCUUGCUAUGCUUUAGCAAAGAGACUGGCAGCAUUUUGUCCCUGCUCUAAAUAUCUGUGGAACUUUGAACUUGAGAGACCUAAUUUAAGGUAUCUGGCCAAAGAAAUUUCAAAGCAGCAAAAUCUUCAAGUGAUGACUUGGGUUCCCUUUAAAGCCUUCAGUUUUAUGCACUUACAAAGUUAUGGUUUGGAAUUGGAACUUACGUUUGAAAGGGAAGCAGAGCGUAAAAGUUCAGAAAAAUUACCCGGAAGGAGUUAAACCCCAUGGCUGCUUCAUGAAGCAGGAAAGGUGGAUAAAAAAGACAGAGAAAAGAUGCAAAAUACACAAUCUAUAAUUUAAAAAGGGAAAAUUAUUACAGAGCCCAGGAUAGCAAACACAUAAAAGUAGAAUACAAUGAAAUAAAUUAUGGCAACUAUUUUGACUAAACUAAAAGGAACUCUAUAAUGAAAACUUUUCUAUAAGGAAAAUUUCAAUCUUAUAUUUUGAUUACUGGAACCAACCUUGUGAAAAUUACACAAACUUCAAGAGAAUUAAAAAGAAGGAAAUGCUUCCAGAAUUAUUAUAUGUGGUCACAAUAAACUUCAUUUCCAAAACGAAUAAAAGCAUUAGAAACAAAAAUUAAUUCCUGCAUCUGACAUGAACACAGAUAUAAAAAGCAUAAAAAGCACAUAUAUGUGUAAUGUGUAGUUCAUAUAUAUAUAUACGUAUUUGAAAUAUCUAUCUAUCUACAUAGGUAUUUAUAGAUAUCUAAAUAUAUCUAUAUCUGUAUAUAUGUAAAUGUACAUAUAUGUGUGUUAAUGCACAUAUAUGUAUAUAUGAAUGCAUAUCUGUAUAUAGCUACAUAUGUAUGUAGCCCUAUAUUGAAUUAUGUAUGCCUAUAAAAUUGAAUGUCAGUAUAUUUCUAUCUAUUUAAUAAACAGGUGUAGCAAGCCACAUUACAGCUCUUAUGCUUAAAACUCAGGUAAAUUUUAAUAAUAGCAAUUUCUGAGUGAUGGUCAUAAAACGAAAGGUAUGACAGGCUUAGUUAACUAAUUUUAGAAAAAAAUUUAUAUUGUUUUAUUUAAAUGUUUUAUUUUCCUUUUUUCUUUUAAUCUGGAGACAAGGAUUUGCUGUGUUUCCCAAGCUGAAGAGCAGUGGCAAUUCACAGGCCAUCCUUGACUGUGAGAAUGAUGUGACAUCAGUCCAGCAUCCAUGGAUAGAACUCUGUCCAGAAUAGCAUCAUUGUAGACAUACAAAGAAUGAGGACUUACCUAGGAGACAAGGAUGUAAUUUUUAACAUUAGGGAAAAUCAUCUCCAUUCAUACUCUUUGGCACCUCAAAUUUGGAAUCAUUUACUUUUCACCAUUUUGACUUGAGAAUAUAGACCUUUGGGAUAUCAGCAUCAGGGACCCAGAGCAUCAGCCGCCCCAGGAGCUGAGCAGGGAGCCUCAUUGUGAGAUGAACUGAGGAGUCCUGAUCUGUCGAGGCAAGGCAUGCAACUGUGUAGAAGCAAUGUUGUUUGUCUUCUGAGGCUAUAAGAGGUCAUCGAGGCUGCAUAACUUCUGCCUGCUCCUCCUCUGGAAGUUUCAAGUAAACCAAGCAGCCACAUGAAUUGGCAAACAACUCCAGCUGAGAACCUUACGUCUAAUGUUAUCCACCUUUGAGAUGACGCCUACCCUAGCCACUCACUGACUGCAUCCUUAGGAAAGCCUGGCAGGAACCUUGUGGAGCCCAGGCAACAUCCAGAACCAUAGAGAUGAUAGGCAGUUGAUUGCAGUUUUCAUGUGUUAUUAAGUUGGUGGGUAGUUUGUUUCAUGUGUAUUAAUAGUACCCAGAAUACCAACUUACAGAAGGAAUAUGGAAGUAGAAAGUCAACUAUUGAUAGUAGAUGAAUCUGGGUCCAAUUUAUAUUUCUUACAGUGUUUUUCCAACUUGUCACUGUUUGAUAUUAUGGUAAAAGAAAAAGUUAUAAAGAGUAUGUGCAAAUGUACAAAAGGUUACUGAGAGAAACUCAAGGAGACUCCACAAGCGAAAGGUUUUACCAUGUUCUUGUAUUAGGAAACUUAAUAUUGUCGAUAUAAUAACUCUCUCCAAAUUAAUUGAAUACUGUGACAAUCAAAAUCCUGUGAAUUUUGUUGAAAUUUAAAAGCUGUUUCUAACUUAGAUGGACAUUCGAAGAGGCAGAAAACAACAACAACAACAACAACAAAAAACAAACAAAAACAAUCAUGGUAAUCUUACAUAAUAAGAACAAGAUUGGAAGAUUAACACUUCCCAAUAUUGAAGCUUAUAUUAAGCAACAGGAAUGAAAACAGUAUGGUAUCGGUGAAGGCUGAGACAGAUAACCCUGUGCAAUGAGUCAGAGAAUCUAAAACCAGAUCUGCAUGUAUAUAUAGUCACUCAAUUUACAAUAAAAGUGCUACAGC